GACGAACGCUGGCGGCGCGCCUAACACAUGCAAGUCGAACGGAGAUACCAGAGGAGCUUGCUCCACCGGUAUCUUAGUGGCGGACGGGUGAGUAACACGUGAGCAACCUGCCUUUCAGAGAGGGAUAACGUUUGGAAACGAACGCUAAUACCACAUAACAUCACGAUACGGCAUCGUAUUGUGAUCAAAGGAGCAAUCCGCUGAGAGAUGGGCUCGCGUCCGAUUAGAUAGUUGGUGGGGUAACGGCUCACCAAGUCGACGAUCGGUAGCCGGACUGAGAGGUUGAACGGCCACAUUGGGACUGAGACACGGCCCAGACUCCUACGGGAGGCAGCAGUGGGGAAUAUUGCACAAUGGGGGAAACCCUGAUGCAGCGACGCCGCGUGAGGGAAGAAGGUUUUCGGAUUGUAAACCUCUGUCUUUGGUGACGAUAAUGACGGUAGCCAAAGAGGAAGCUACG
rnacentral:rRNA from 1 species